GUCUCCUUCUCCCAAAACAAAGAGAACCAGGGUUUCUCCCAAGUCCGCUGGCUCCCCGUGGCUCCUGGGCCAUCAGCAGACCUCACCAAGAGCUGACCACAUACACCAGGGCCUUGGGGGGAGGGGGGAAAGGAACAUUCCAAGCAAAAGAAGAGGGUGAGGGUAGGCGAGGCUGCUUGGAGGAGGCAAAUCCCAGAUAUGUCUUGGAAACCGAGUUUCGCCAAACUUUGGUGAAAACAAGAAGGCAGGUGAUACUUCACCUGCGGAUCUUUGGUUUUUAUUUAGUAAUAUGUACUGGGCACCCACCAAGUGCCCAGCACAGUGGGCAAUGGAGAUGUGGAAAUGAACAGAACAUGGUCCUUGCUCUCCAGAGGCUCAUGGGAAAGCAACACGAACAACGCUGUGACAAUGCUGUGACAGUAGUUGCCAAAUAGGGCUGGGAGAGGCCGUGGAGGGCAGGGCCGUGAGAGUCUUGAAGGUGGUGUAGCCAUCAGGCACAGGCUCCAGAGCUGGCUGUGUGGCUUUGCACCCAGGUUCUCCCAGUUACUAGUUCUAUGAGCUCGGGCAAUUUACUAACCUCCCUCUGCCUCUGUUUCCUCAUUCUGGAAAUGGUACUUAUUUCACGAAGUUGUUGAAAAGAUUAAAUGAAUUAAUCCAUGUAAAGCAUGUUUAGAACAGUGUCGGAUAUUAGGUUCUGUAAAUGUAUUUAUUAAUAUGACUGUCUUGAUGGAAAAGCAGGCAUUCUGCAGAAGAGGAAGGGCACAAGUAGGUGUCCCAGGAAGCGGGCCCCGCAGGAACAGAGGCAGGGACGUGGAAGCAUGGGCUGGGGUGUGGCACGGCUGCUACCCAGGAGCAUGUGCUGAAAGGAAGCCAGGAAGGUGGGCAAAGGCCAGAAGCUGCCGGGCCAUGCACACCUUCGAGGGUGGACUUGGUCUUGGAGCUGACAGAGAGUGACUGGGGGUUGUACCAUGAGGCUGCUAGACUGGAAGAAGUGAGACUGGAGGUAAGGGACCCAGCCAGCAGCCUAGUGGGAGAGAAAGGAGAGAUGUAAAGAGGUCCAAAACCAACGCGGUGACAGCAGGAACGGAGAGGAAGUGAGUCACUGCGGCCUGGAGGUGACUGGAUGCAGGAGGGACAGGCCAAGUCUGGGAUGCUUCAGGUAACCCGAAGCCAUCCAUCAGGACGAGGAAGCCAUCCAUCAGGACGAGGGAGACAGCCCUUGAGGGGGUGGGGCGUAAAGAGGAGGAAUAACAGAAUAAGAGGUGCCGGGCACUGAACCAGGAGCUGUAGAUGAAUUACUUCAUUUACUCCUCACAUGGACCCUUCGAGAAGAUGAGGAAACUGUUUGUCCCAUGACGAGCUAGGGACAGAAUCCAGGGCCUUCAGUAUCCACUCAGCGUUCUUGUCCCUACAGCACAAAGGAUCCAGACAAGAAGAACUGGAAGAGGCUACGAUGCCUCUAAGCCUAACCCUACCUCUGCUCCUGGAGGUGCCCCAGAGCCACGGCCAUCCUCCUCUGCGCUCUACGGGCCACACAGCACUGCCUGUGCCCUUGUUUCCCUCGUCUCCAAAUUUUAGGGGUCACUGUCAGCCCCACAUAUCACCAACAGCCGCCAACCAUCACAGAGAACUGGAAAUAUCCGGACUGGCCCAGGCUGCUGGAUCACCGAUGCUGCUGCAAUGUCUAGACAGAGCGCGCACCUUCCUGUCCCCCGACAAGCACCUGGACGGCCCAUGAGUGUCCCGGGAGCACCUGCUUGGUGACCAGCGUGGCAGACCAAGAAAUCACACAUUUGGGCAGCGACUUUCUCCAAGUUCUUCUUUCUGCCAAGCACACAAAUGAACAG